rnacentral:rRNA from 1 species
GUAGGGAAUCUUGCGCAAUGGGCGAAAGCCUGACGCAGCCAUGCCGCGUGAAUGAUGAAGGUCUUAGGAUUGUAAAAUUCUUUCACCGGGGACGAUAAUGACGGUACCCGGAGAAGAAGCCCCGGCUAACUUCGUGCCAGCAGCCGCGGUAAUACGAAGGGGGCUAGCGUUGCUCGGAAUUACUGGGCGUAAAGGGAGCGUAGGCGGAUAGUUUAGUCAGAGGUGAAAGCCCAGGGCUCAACCUUGGAAUUGCAUUGGAUACUGGCUAUCUUGAAUAUGGAAGAGGUAUGUGGAACUCCGAGUGUAGAGGUGAAAUUCGUAGAUAUUCGGAAGAACACCAGUGGCGAAGGCGACAUACUGGUCCAUUACUGACGCUGAGGCUCGAAAGCGUGGGGAGCAAACAGGAUUAGAUACCCUAGUAGUCC